UAAGCGACUAAGCGUACACGGUGGAUGCCCUGGCAGUCAGAGGCGAUGAAGGACGUGCUAAUCUGCGAUAAGCGUCGGUAAGGUGAUAUGAACCGUUAUAACCGGCGAUUUCCGAAUGGGGAAACCCAGUGUGAUUCGUCACACUAUCAUUAACUGAAUCCAUAGGUUAAUGAGGCGAACCGGGGGAACUGAAACAUCUAAGUACCCCGAGGAAAAGAAAUCAACCGAGAUUCCCCCAGUAGCGGCGAGCGAACGGGGAGGAGCCCAGAGCCUGAAUCAGUGUGUGUGUUAGUGGAAGCGUCUGGAAAGGCGCGCGAUACAGGGUGACAGCCCCGUACACAAAAAUAGCACAUACUGUGAGCUCGAUGAGUAGGGCGGGACACGUGGUAUCCUGUCUGAAUAUGGGGGGACCAUCCUCCAAGGCUAAAUACUCCUGACUGACCGAUAGUGAACCAGUACCGUGAGGGAAAGGCGAAAAGAACCCCGGCGAGGGGAGUGAAAAAGAACCUGAAACCGUGUACGUACAAGCAGUGGGAGCCUCUUUUAUGGGGUGACUGCGUACCUUUUGUAUAAUGGGUCAGCGACUUAUAUUCUGUAGCAAGGUUAACCGAAUAGGGGAGCCGAAGGGAAACCGAGUCUUAACCGGGCGUUAAGUUGCAGGGUAUAGACCCGAAACCCGGUGAUCUAGCCAUGGGCAGGUUGAAGGUUGGGUAACACUAACUGGAGGACCGAACCGACUAAUGUUGAAAAAUUAGCGGAUGACUUGUGGCUGGGGGUGAAAGGCCAAUCAAACCGGGAGAUAGCUGGUUCUCCCCGAAAGCUAUUUAGGUAGCGCCUCGUGAAUUCAUCUCCGGGGGUAGAGCACUGUUUCGGCAAGGGGGUCAUCCCGACUUACCAACCCGAUGCAAACUGCGAAUACCGGAGAAUGUUAUCACGGGAGACACACGGCGGGUGCUAACGUCCGUCGUGAAGAGGGAAACAACCCAGACCGCCAGCUAAGGUCCCAAAGUCAUGGUUAAGUGGGAAACGAUGUGGGAAGGCCCAGACAGCCAGGAUGUUGGCUUAGAAGCAGCCAUCAUUUAAAGAAAGCGUAAUAGCUCACUGGUCGAGUCGGCCUGCGCGGAAGAUGUAACGGGGCUAAACCAUGCACCGAAGCUGCGGCAGCGACACUGUGUGUUGUUGGGUAGGGGAGCGUUCUGUAAGCCUGUGAAGGUGUACUGUGAGGUAUGCUGGAGGUAUCAGAAGUGCGAAUGCUGACAUAAGUAACGAUAAAGCGGGUGAAAAGCCCGCUCGCCGGAAGACCAAGGGUUCCUGUCCAACGUUAAUCGGGGCAGGGUGAGUCGACCCCUAAGGCGAGGCCGAAAGGCGUAGUCGAUGGGAAACAGGUUAAUAUUCCUGUACUUGGUGUUACUGCGAAGGGGGGACGGAGAAGGCUAUGUUGGCCGGGCGACGGUUGUCCCGGUUUAAGCGUGUAGGCUGGUUUUCCAGGCAAAUCCGGAAAAUCAAGGCUGAGGCGUGAUGACGAGGCACUACGGUGCUGAAGCAACAAAUGCCCUGCUUCCAGGAAAAGCCUCUAAGCAUCAGGUAACAUCAAAUCGUACCCCAAACCGACACAGGUGGUCAGGUAGAGAAUACCAAGGCGCUUGAGAGAACUCGGGUGAAGGAACUAGGCAAAAUGGUGCCGUAACUUCGGGAGAAGGCACGCUGAUAUGUAGGUGAAGUCCCUCGCGGAUGGAGCUGAAAUCAGUCGAAGAUACCAGCUGGCUGCAACUGUUUAUUAAAAACACAGCACUGUGCAAACACGAAAGUGGACGUAUACGGUGUGACGCCUGCCCGGUGCCGGAAGGUUAAUUGAUGGGGUCAGCGCAAGCGAAGCUCUUGAUCGAAGCCCCGGUAAACGGCGGCCGUAACUAUAACGGUCCUAAGGUAGCGAAAUUCCUUGUCGGGUAAGUUCCGACCUGCACGAAUGGCGUAAUGAUGGCCAGGCUGUCUCCACCCGAGACUCAGUGAAAUUGAACUCGCUGUGAAGAUGCAGUGUACCCGCGGCAAGACGGAAAGACCCCGUGAACCUUUACUAUAGCUUGACACUGAACAUUGAGCCUUGAUGUGUAGGAUAGGUGGGAGGCUUUGAAGUGUGGACGCCAGUCUGCAUGGAGCCGACCUUGAAAUACCACCCUUUAAUGUUUGAUGUUCUAACGUGGACCCGUGAUCCGGGUUGCGGACAGUGUCUGGUGGGUAGUUUGGCUGGGGCGGUCUCCUCCUAAAGAGUAACGGAGGAGCACGAAGGUUGGCUAAUCCUGGUCGGACAUCAGGAGGUUAGUGCAAUGGCAUAAGCCAGCUUGACUGCGAGCGUGACGGCGCGAGCAGGUGCGAAAGCAGGUCAUAGUGAUCCGGUGGUUCUGAAUGGAAGGGCCAUCGCUCAACGGAUAAAAGGUACUCCGGGGAUAACAGGCUGAUACCGCCCAAGAGUUCAUAUCGACGGCGGUGUUUGGCACCUCGAUGUCGGCUCAUCACAUCCUGGGGCUGAAGUAGGUCCCAAGGGUAUGGCUGUUCGCCAUUUAAAGUGGUACGCGAGCUGGGUUUAGAACGUCGUGAGACAGUUCGGUCCCUAUCUGCCGUGGGCGCUGGAGAACUGAGGGGGGCUGCUCCUAGUACGAGAGGACCGGAGUGGACGCAUCACUGGUGUUCGGGUUGUCAUGCCAAUGGCACUGCCCGGUAGCUAAAUGCGGAAGAGAUAAGUGCUGAAAGCAUCUAAGCACGAAACUUGCCCCGAGAUGAGUUCUCCCUGACCCUUUAAGGGUCCUGAAGGAACGUUGAAGACGACGACGUUGAUAGGCCGGGUGUGUAAGCGCAGCGAUGCGUUGAGCUAACCGGUACUAAUGAACCGUGAGGCUUAACCU
rnacentral:rRNA from 1 species